rnacentral:piRNA from 1 species
UAAAUGAAUAAAUCAUUCAUU